rnacentral:rRNA from 1 species
UACAGAGACCUCGAGCGUUAUCCGGAAUCAUUGGGCGUAAAGCGUACCGAUAGGUGGUUAAGAAAGUCAGAUGUGAAAUCUCCGAGCUCAACUCGGAAUCUGUCAUUUGAAACUUCUUGACUAGAGGAGCAAAGAGGAAGCUGGAACGAACGGUGUAGUAGUGAAAUGCGUUGAUAUCGUUCGGAACACCAAUAGCGUAGGCAGGCUUCUGGGUGCUACCUGACACUGCUAGGACGAAAGCGUGGGGAGCGAAGGGGAUUAGAUACCCCCGUAGUCCACGCUGUAAACGAUGUACAUUAGGCGCUAGGGAGUAUCGACCCUCUUUAGUGCCAAAGCUAACGCGAUAAAUGUACCGCCUGGGGAGUACGGCCGCAAGGUUA